GAUGAACGCUGGCGGCAGGCCUAAUACAUGCAAGUCGAACGGGAACAAGAUGAGAGCUUGCUUUGGAUUGGAGAGAGUGGCGUACGGGUGCGUAACGCGUGAGCAACCUACCCUUGUCAGGGGGAUAGCCCGGCGAAAGUCGGAUAAAGACCAAAUGACAUAAUUGAGAGGCAUCUUUCGAUGAGAAAGGAUUGAUGGGACAAGGAGGGGCUCGCGUGACAUUAGCUAGUUGGUAAGGUAACGGCGUACCAAGGCUACGAUGCCUAGGUGCGCUGAGAGGAGACCCCCCCACACUUGUACUGAGACACGGACCCCACCCCUACGGGAGGCAGCAGUAAGUACUAUUGUUCAAUGGACGGAAGUCUGACCCAGCCACGCCGCGUGCAGGAAUCCGGCCCUAUUGGUUCUAAACUGCUUUUAUACGGGAACAAUCGUCGUUACUUGUACCGGUCUGAGUGUACCUUAAGAAUAAGGCUCGGCUAACUCCGUG
rnacentral:rRNA from 1 species